rnacentral:lncRNA from 1 species
AAAGGCUUUCAAGUUCUUGCGUGAGCACUGACAGGCUUUUAUGAAUAGUUGGUGACACAGGUACAAACUGGGCUGUUCUGGCUGAAAUAUCUGUUUGCCUUGUCGGAUAUUGCCAGCAUUCUUCCUGCCUCACUGACCUCCCUGAAUGACUUGGGCUUGAGAAUGUUUCUGCAUGAUUUCUCUGAGCUUGCUGUCUUACCUGAGAGCAGGAAGUCAAAAGGAGAGUGAUGGAGCCACCUGCUGCCCUCUACUUUGCAGAUAUUAAAGAGGAGCCUGAAACUGUUCCUUGGACAUCUUAUGAAUGUCAGAAAAUACCUUUUGGAGGGUUAGAAGAUCAGGGGACAUGGUUGUUCACAUUUGCUGCCACGGAACACCGCCAGUCUUCACUUGGAAACAGAAUCACGCCUUGUGAAGAGAUCAUCCCUAAGCAGGAGAGAAGCUACUAAAGGAUUGUGUCCUCCUCCACCUUCCCUGUGCUCGGUCUCCACCUGUCUCCCAUUCUGUGACGAUGGUUCAAUGGAAGAGACUCUGCCAGCUGCAUUACUUGUGGGCUCUGGGCUGCUAUAUGCUGCUGGCCACUGUGGCUCUGAAACUUUCUUUCAGGUUGAAGUGUGACUCUGACCACUUGGGUCUGGAGUCCAGGGAAUCUCAAAGCCAGUACUGUAGGA